AAGUUUGAUGGCGACCGGCGCACGGUGAGUAACACGUAUCCAACCUGCCGAUGACUCGGGGAUAGCCUUUCGAAAGAAAGAUUAAUACCCGAUGGCAUAGUUCUUCCGCAUGGUAGAACUAUUAAAGAAUUUCGGUCAUCGAUGGGGAUGCGUUCCUUUAGGUUGUUGGCGGGGUAACGGCCCACCAAGCCUUCGAUGGAUAGGGGUUCUGAGAGGAAGGUCCCCCACAUUGGAACUGAGACACGGUCCAAACUCCUACGGGAGGCAGCAUG
rnacentral:rRNA from 1 species